rnacentral:rRNA from 1 species
GACGAACGCUGGCGGCGUGCUUAACACAUGCAAGUCGAACGGAAAGGCCCUGCUUGCAGGGUACUCGAGUGGCGAACGGGUGAGUAACACGUGGGUGAUCUGCCCUGCACUUCGGGAUAAGCCUGGGAAACUGGGUCUAAUACCGGAUAGGAGCCAUUUUUAGUGUGAUGGUUGGAAAGUUUUUUCGGUGUAGGAUGAGCUCGCGGCCUAUCAGCUUGUUGGUGGGGUAAUGGCCUACCAAGGCGGCGACGGGUAGCCGGCCUGAGAGGGUGGACGGCCACAUUGGGACUGAGAUACGGCCCAGACUCCUACGGGAGGCAGCAGUGGGGAAUAUUGCACAAUGGGCGCAAGCCUGAUGCAGCGACGCCGCGUGGGGGAUGACGGCCUUCGGGUUGUAAACUCCUUUCGCUAGGGACGAAGCUUUUUGUGACGGUACCUAGAGAAGAAGCACUGGCUAACUACGUG